rnacentral:rRNA from 1 species
GAUGAACGCUGGCGGCGUGCCUAAUACAUGCAAGUCGAGCGGACGGACGAGAAGCUUGCGUCUCUGAUGUUAGCGGAGGGCGGGUGAGUAACACGUGGAUAACGUACCUAUAAUACUGGUAUAACUUCGGGAAACCGGAUCUAAUACCGGAUAAUAUUUUGAACCGCAUGGGGCAAAAGUGAGAUACGGUCGUGCGGGCACGUAUAGAUGGAUCUCCGCUGCAUUGGCUGGUUGGUAAUGUAAACGCCUACCAAGGCAAGUCUGCAUAGACGACGUGAGGGAGUGAUCGCCCACACUGGAACUUAGCCGCGGACCAGACUCCUAAGGGAGGCAGCAGUAGGGAAUCUUACGCAAUGGGGGAAAGUCUGACGGAGCAACGCGGCGUGAGAGAUGAAGGUCUUCCGAUCGUAAAAAUCUGUUAUUAGGGAAGAACAUAUGUGUACGUAACUGUGGACAUAUUGACGGUACCUAAUCAGAAAGCCACGGCUAACUACGUG